ensembl:lncRNA
AAUAAGCCAGAGUGUAACUACAGCAUCGGUUCUCACAAAGAUUUGUCUAGAUAUGAAGAUAGAAACUCUGCUGGAGCUGCUGCAUAUGUCUUACUUGGACAUCUAAUAAGGUUCAGCCAGCAUGAUGUCACCAGUGCACUGGGCCAACCAGCCCUUCUGUGGGGUGGAAAGGUGAGCAAAGAAAAUGAAAAUGUAUUCCACUGUCUUCCAGCUCCCUUUAUUUCCAUCAAGAAAUCUGCUGUCAUAUCCUUUGUUGGUUAUUUUAGUUUUCACUUUCAUUCAGUUUUAAGUACUUUUCUUAAUCUUAUUCUACAGCUGUUAAUACAAUGUUUCUUGGCAGAUUUUUGGGUCAAUGUACUUAGGAUACAUUAUAGUUUCUGACCCUUAGUGAUGCUAUGGACAUUUGGCUUGGAACAGCUCAAUCUCUCCAAUUUCUUUUGUGUUCACUGUUUCAAGGUCUGGAUUUAGCUCAUUUUUUUUUUUUUCAGGGAGAAAGUAAAUCUUCAGAUAUUUUAUUUUAUGAGAAUCCACAAUGCAAUUAAACAUUUAUUAUAUACAGUAUCUAGUUAUAUUUUAGUGGGAGCCCUUCAAAAUGCUGCCCAUUGAAAAUAUUCAGCCCAGAAUAUUUACCAUAAAUUCCAUGUCUGAAAUAACUAUAUUGUUAACAUACUGGAAUGAUAUAAAAUAAUUUUAAAGAUUAUCAAAACACCUGGCAUUUUAAAAAUAGAAACUCUCUAGUUAUGUUUAAAACAUUAGAGUUUAUAGAGAUUAAAAGUGUUUUCUUCCUUUAAUCACUAUUCUGGAAUCUCAGUCUGAGCUGUUCUACUCUGCUCCUUAAUGCUGAGAACAUUCUGAAGGAUUUACUUUUGUUUAAUAUUUAUAUAUUCUAGAUUUCAUGUUCUUUUCCUGAAGGCAAUGUAUAUAUUCAUAGUGAAUUAUUUAGCAUCAAUCAUGGGCAACCUUGAUGCUGCUUCUUUUAAUCUUUCUGACUAAGAAAUGAUGUUCUCAUAGGUAUGCAAUGAAACAUGGUUUUGAGAGUCUUUUAAAAAAAACCAUAUAUUAAAACCUUUUGAGAAUCUAAGCAAAACGGUUUGUUUCCCACCAUUAACAUUAAUGUAAUGCAAUCUUUAUUUCUGGAAUAGCCAAUAUUCACAGUAAUAGAAGUUUUAGAAAAGACUCACUCUUCAAUUCUCUUUGCCAAUUUACUCAAACAUUAUCAAAAAGAUUGUGUAUUGUAGUUUUCUUCUUGAGAGAAAUAUAGACAAUAAUCUCUUUGAAAAGAGGGGGAGUCAGAAUACCUGUUGUGGUAACGAACCCAACUAGUAUCCAUGAGGACUCAGGUUUGAUCCCUAGCCUUGCCCAGUGGGUUAAGGAUCCGGCA